AACAUGACAUUGUAACCAUAAAGCUACCAUUUCUUGUCUGUAAACUCUACUCCUGUCUCUAGUAGGUAUUUAUAUAUUCUCUUGUUUGAUGUAUAAUUGGUCAAAAACCCCUGAGGAAGAAAUUAUAAUAGCAAUAAUUAUUAUAAUUAUACUUUUAAUAAUAAUGAAUUAUUAUGAACAAUAAUAAAAUAAAUUCUAUUUUAAUAAAUAUAACAUUUAUUAAAUGUUUCAACAUGCCAGGCAUGGUGCUCAUUGUCUUAUAACCAGCAUCUCAUUUGCUCCCUCCAAGAGUCCCGUAAAAUAAAUACUAUUACUACCCCAUUUUACAGAUGAGUAAGGGGAGACCUGGGACGCCAGCUCAGAUCUGCUGCUCCAGAGCCUACAAGCUUUCCCACUGCACCAUCCAGCCUCCCUUCUCAGCCCUGCUUCUUUGCACUGGUCUCCUGCCAGGGGAAGCAAGGGCCAAGGGGCUGAGGAACCAUGACCAGUAGACAUGUGGGCAGCUGGAUGGCCAACGUCCAGAAUGCAAUGCCCCCUGGCAUGCCCAGCAGACCGGAAUUCUGGGGCUGGCUGGCUUCCCGCUCCUCCCUGCCAAUCAGUGCAGACCUGUGGUCAUUUCCUCGUUAGCACAACGAAAUACUCAGGAUGACUCUGAGCUCUGGAUUAGCCACUCAAACAAUUUUAUUUACUUUGGGGGCCGAAACAGAGGACGCAGGACGGAAAAAGAUUAGCAGGAAGUGCAGAGUUCCCAUAUAAUCUCUCCUCCCCCUCCCCCACUUUCUUUCCCCUUUUAGUAACACCUUCAUUUGACUUUGGAUGUUUUGUGUCUUCAGGUGAGUGCUUAAGUUGUUCAGCGGAUUUGCAACUCUUCCAAUAAGAGUAAGAGGCCUCCCAAGGACACAGCUCUACCAGUCCAGCCGCCCCUCCAUCUUGCCUCUCUGCCCCUCCAUCCUUCCCCGCUCUCUGGCACGUGGACCUGCUCAGACCCACCACACUGGGCUUCACAACCUUCUCCAGGCAGAGAAGUGAUUCCAUGGCUUUUAUAACCAGGUACAAUUCAGGUCUUGCUGAGUGUACACAACCAUCUUGUUUACGUCAAGCCAAAUCGUUUAGAAUGUCAAAAUCAUUUGUAAGUAAAAU